UCUGGCUCAGAACGAACGCUGGCGGCGUGGAUAAGACAUGCAAGUCGAACGAGAUCUCUAGCUAGCUUGCUAGCAGGAGUGAAAGUGGCGGACGGGUGCGUAACACGUGAGCAACCUACCCUGGAGUGGGGGACAACUCUUCGAAAGGAGGGCUAAUACCGCAUGUAGAUCUUCGGAUCAAAGGUGGCUUCGGCUACCGCUCCUGGAUGGGCUCGCGGCCUAUCAGCUUGUUGGUGAGGUAACGGCUCACCAAGGCUAUGACGGGUAGCUGGUCUGAGAGGACGAUCAGCCUCACUGGAACUGAGACACGGUCCAGACACCUACGGGUGGCAGCAGUCGAGAAUCAUUCACAAUGGGCGAAAGCCUGAUGGUGCAACGCCGCGUGGAGGAUGACGGCCCUAGGGUUGUAAACUCCUGUCAUCUGGGAGUAAUCCUUGUUCGUUAAUAGCGUGCAAGGUUGAUAGUACCAGAAGAGGAAGGGACGGCUAACUUCGUGCCAGCAGCCGCGGUAAUACGAAGGUCCCGAGCGUUAUUCGGAAUCACUGGGCGUAAAGGGAGCGUAGGCGGCGUGGUAAGUCAGAUGUGAAAGCCCAAGGCUCAACCUUGGAACUGCAUUCGAUACUGCCAUGCUAGAGUAGUGGAGAGGUAAUCGGAAUUUUCGGUGUAGCAGUGAAAUGCGUAGAUAUCGAAAGGAAGACCAAUGGCGAAGGCAGAUUACUGGACACUUACUGACGCUGAGGCUCGAAGGCUAGGGGAGCGAAAGGGAUUAGAUACCCCUGUAGUCCUAGCAGUAAACGAUGUGCGCUUGGUGUGGGAGGGUUCGACCCCUUCUGUGCCGGAGCUAACGCGUUAAGCGCACCGCCUGGGGAGUACGGCCGCAAGGCUAAAACUCAAAGAAAUUGACGGGGACCCGCACAAGCGG
rnacentral:rRNA from 1 species